AAAAAGGCAGACCCUAGAUUUCCGUGUCCAACUUUGACUAUCCGUUUUAUAUGAAAUUUUUUUAUAAUUUAUAUUUUUAUUGUUGUUAGAUGAUAAAACAUGAUUAAUAUUUUAGUGUGACUUGUCUUUGUAAUUUUUUUCAUAAUUUUUUUAAACAAGAUGGAUGGUCGGAAACCAGA
rnacentral:pre_miRNA from 1 species